rnacentral:sRNA from 1 species
GCUGGGUGUGGUGGUGUGUGCCUGUAGUCCCAGCUACUUAGGAGGCUGAGGCAGGAGAAUCCCUUGAACCCGGGAGGCGGAGAUUGCAGUGAGCCAAGAUUGCGCCACUGUACUCCAGCCUGGGUGACAGAGUGAGACUUAGUCUCAAAAAAAAAAAAAAAAGCCGGGUGUGGUGGCGUGGGCCUGUGGUCCCAGCUACUCAGGAGGCUAAGGCUGGAGUGCAGUAGCUCGAUCUCGGCUCACUGCAGCCUCUGCCUCCCAGGUUCAAGUGAUUCUCUUGCCUCAG